UUGAAUAUAUAAUUUUAAUAGGUUUUCCAGAAAACUUUUUAUUAAAGAUUGUACAUUUUACUGAAUUUCCUCACAAUUUGUAAUAAUUAGUCAUUUUUUUUAUGAAAACUUGAAUAUAAAAUCUUAUAAAAAAAAAGUUUUGUCUUACUAUUUCUUCAAUUUUUUCUUCGGCUUGGAUGACUUAGGUGAAUUUAAUUUCUGAGAUGAACUUUCACCAAUUAAUCCUGUAGGAUCCAACUUUUCGUCAGUUGAUUUAUUGUCAUAAUCUUUUGCUGGAAGAAUAAAAAUAUUUAAAAAUACAUUUAAAUCACAUUUAGACUUUUAUAAAACAUUUCUUUUUCGAUAAAUCAGUAUUUUCUUCGUAGUUUUGUUUAAAAUUAUAUAAUAUAUAAUUAUUUUUCAAGGAGUUAUGGAGAAUAGAUUUUUAAUUGGAAAAAAUUAGUAAUUAGUUAUUAAAGGUAGGAUUACCAAUAUUACAACUCUUUUAUUGUGCGAAACUGGUAAGAAUAAAAAAGUUUGGUAUUCCUUAUGUUGCGUUUCUUCAAAAUGAAAGUAUUAUAAUAUACAACUAAUUUUAUAAUAUUUAUAAGUUAUAUUAUAACUUAUAAAUAAGCAAAUAUUUGAUUUAUGUCAAAGUAUCAAAAUAGUGGAUUCUUUUCAUUUUCAUCGAUAUUUUUCAGAAUAUUUUCAUUAAACAUGAUAAAUUAAAAAAAUGUUGAGUUAAAUUUUUUCAUAGACGAUGACAAACUUAAAUAUUAACUUCAACUGCAUUGUAUAACUAAAAAAAUAUAUUUUGUUUCUAUUUCACCUUUAAACUUUUUA